rnacentral:rRNA from 1 species
AACGAACGCUGGCGGCAGGCCUAACACAUGCAAGUCGAACGCCCGUAGCAAUACGGGAGUGGCGGACGGGAGAGAAACGCGUGGGUAUCUACCUAGCAGUACGGAAUAACCGCGGGAAACUGCGGCUAAUACCGUAUACGCCCUACGGGGGAAAGAUUUAUCGCUGCUGGAUGAGCCCGCGUCCGAUUAGCUAGUUGGCGGGGUAAUGGCCCACCAAGGCUAUGAUCGGUAGCUGGUCUGAGAGGAUGAUCAGCCACACUGGGGCUGAGACACGGCCCAGACUCCUACGGGAGGCAGCAGUGGGGAAUAUUGGACAAUGGGCGAAAGCCUGAUCCAGCAAUGCCGCGUGAGUGAUGAAGGCCUUAGGGUUGUAAAGCUCUUUUACCCGGGAUGAUAAUGACAGUACCGGGAGAAUAAGCUCCGGCUAACUUCGUGCCAGCCGCCGCCGUAAGAC